CUGCCUGAGGAAAACACAGAGCCCAGCCACACUGGUGCAGCCGUCAGAGAGACAGUCGGUCCACAGGCACAGGAUCUCAGACGCGGGCUCUGGAGGAAGCCCAGCCAGGCGAGGAAGGAGGCUGGGGGCUGCAGGGCACGUGGUGCCACAGGGAGCUGUCCUGGGCAGGGGGCAGCAGAGCACAGUUCCUGAGCCAGGAGGCAUGGCUCAGGCCUCAGCCCCGGUCAGGUCAUGAGGGCCGCAGCCCACAUGGCGGGGAGAAGCCCCUGCACGGGCAGGUACCGUGGGUGACUGGUGAGAGAAAGUGCAGGACUGGCCCUCACAGAAGGGGCCUUGGGAGUGGGCGCAUGGCUGGGUGGGAUCAAGCUGGGCACCAGCCAUGGUGGGCAUGAGAAAACUGUGGAGGCCAGGUGGAGGGCCUUGGGGUGACCGGCCUGGGGUCCAGGAAGAGCUGGGCUGGAGGAAGGCAUGGGCGGUCAGCACACACCAGGAGAGGUCUUGGGAGGGUGGAGUGGGCUCAGGGAGGCCCAGGGCCUGGAGGGCAGAGCCGUGGCUGUGAGCCGAGCACAGACAGGCUGGGCGUCCCUGCACCUCUGCGAGGGUCGUGCGCUCCUGACAGUAUCUGGGUGUGGUCAUGUGUGUCGUGUCUGCACGUGGGCAUCUGAGGCCUGUGUCCUCCAAGUGUCUGAUCCUUGCCCUUGUGUGUCUGCCGGCCAGGGUCAGUUUGCUGAGGACCCCAGGCUGAGCCCUGCAGAGCCUGAGGGUGGGCAGGUGCACGGGCAGGUCAGGGUCAAGGUUGCUGGGGCAGCUUGAGGAGCAGGGGCUGGGAGGGCCACCAGGAGGGCUGCCUGGAGCCACUCGACUCUCAGGGCCUCUGGCCCCUCUGCAGCCUGGGCCUGUCCCCAUGGUGGCUGCUCUGGGCCCCAGUCCUAGCUCUGUCCAUGUCUGUCCUGGCGAAUGGGGACCUGGGCCAGUGGGGCGGGGGGCCGAAGACGGCAGCCCAAGCCAGCUUCUGAUGCCAGACCUCCUCCUGCCCUGGGGAGCGGCCCCUGGAGGGUCAACUCUAUGCAACCAACUCAUUGAUCCCUCGACCAGGUUAAUUAAUUAAUUAGGGCUGCCGCGAAGGAAGGUGGGCUAGGCCCCGGCCACGGAUCCCCCACCAGGAGCUUUAUUAGUACAUAAAAUGAGUGUUUAAAACCCACGCGGCCACGAGUGUGCUGUCGCAGCUUUUCAUUAAACAAACCUAUAAAAUUA
rnacentral:lncRNA from 1 species